rnacentral:rRNA from 1 species
ACCGGCGGCACGAGUGGUGGGCACUAAGAAAGGGGGUAAAGCGGUCGUAGCUGGCUUGUUAAGUCUCUGGGGAAAUCUUCCGGCUCAACCGGAAGGCGUCUCAGGGAUACUGGCAGGCUAGGGACCGGAAGAGGUGAGAGGUACUCCAGGGGUAGGAGUGAAAUCCUGUAAUCCUUGGGGGACCACCUGUGGCGAAGGCGUCUCACCAGGACGGCUCCGACAGUGAGGAACGAAAGCUGGGGGAGCAAACCG